rnacentral:rRNA from 1 species
GUGUCAGCCGCCGCGGUAAUACGUAGGGAGCAAGCGUUGUCCGGAAUCAUUGGGCGUAAAGAGCGCGUAGGCGGCCCUGUAAGUCCGUUCUGAAAGUCGGAGGCUCAACCUCCGAAAGCGGAUGGAUACUGCAGGGCUAGAGUCCGGAAGAGGCGAGUGGAAUUCCUGGUGUAGCGGUGGAAUGCGCAGAUAUCAGGAGGAACACCAACGGCGAAGGCAGCUCGCUGGGACGGUACUGACGCUGAGGCGCGAAAGCGUGGGGAGCAAACAGGAUUAGAAACCCCCGUAGUCC